UAUGAAUCAACCGUUCGAUUAUUAUUGCAGGUGGUGCAGGACGGUAUAACGGAAACAAUUUAUAGAUUUGUUUUUUGACAUUUUAAGAAUCUGAAGAAAUGCCUCAACUGUUAAAAUAACAAUACUAAUUUUUUCAGAAGAACGAAAGACAGAAGUACAUAGAGAUGGCAAAUUUCAUCAAUAAGCAACAGGCAAUGCCAAGAGAGAUGUCUUGAAGGUAGGUUAAUAUACUACAGGUUAAUAUUAUUUGCAAAGAAAGAAAAUAAAAAACAUAAAACAUAAUGAAGAUUAUUUUUAAUUAUAGACUACAUAUUAUUGUUUUGUCAUACACUCAUUCACAAAAAGUUACACAGCCAGAUAGAAUUGUCCAAAAGUGCAAAAUUUGACACACAGCUGUCUCAGACAGACAGGUACAUAAAUGUGUACAGUUAUGAUAUGACUAUACCUGGUAAUACCACUAGAAUGCCUUAAAAUUAUUACCCCAAUAUCCUAUAAAAAGGGUUGCAUAGGCUCACUGUGUUUAGGAGUUUCAAUGUAUCCAUUGUUUGGAGGUCUUUGAAUGCUAUGUAUGUCUGUAUGAUGUAAUCAGACAUUAUGCACAGCUGACAGUUUGAGAAAGGCCACAUCAUCAGGCUGAGCGAAGCAGGUUGUUUUUGCCAAAUUGCUCACUAUAUGGGCUGUUCCGAUCUGAUUGUAUUGGGUUAUUCGGAAAGUAAGUUUUUUUUUUACCACUAGAUGGAUUAGUCGUAUUUUUCCCAUCAUUUUUAUUCUAAACCAUAUUAUCAUUAUAUAUUUUGACAGGUAGUAUUUUAAGGCUUUAUUUGUAAAGAAUUUUGUUUGAUUCUGUGCAAUUGUUUUAUGUUUUGCGUCCCAUCAAAUAUUGAAGAUUGAAAGCAUCAUUUUUGGCAUAUUUUGCUUUUUUUUUAACCUAAAAAUUAAAAUGCUGUUCAAGCAAGAAAAAAAUUGUGGUACAUGUAUG